rnacentral:rRNA from 2 species
GGUCAAGCGACUAAGGGCAUAAGGUGAAUGCCUUGGCACUAGGAGCCGAAGAAGGACGCGACAAGCAGCGAAAGCGACGGUUAGGAGCAAAUAUCCAACGAUCCGUCGGUAUCCGAAUGGGGAAACCCACUUAGACAAACUCUAAGUAUCCAUAUCCCAACCAAUUAAGAUAUGGAAGGAAACCAGGUGAACUGAAACAUCUAAGUAACCUGAGGAAAAGAAAGAAAACUCGAUUCCCGUAGUAGCGGCGAGCGAAGAGGGAAGAGCCCGACAUAAGAGAAUACAACAACAAGAAUUAGAAGAAUUGCCUGGGAAGGUAAGCCGUAGAGAGUGAAAGCCUCGUAUUCAAAAAUUCAAGAAGUUGCUCUUAGAAAGAGUACCACGAAACACGAGAAAUUUUGUGGGAAUAUGGGAGGACCACCUCCCAAGGCUAAAUACUACCUAGUGACCGAUAGCGAAUAGUACCGUGAGGGAAAGGUGAAAAGAACCCCGGGAGGGGAGUGAAAAAGAACCUGAAACCUUAUGCCUACAAGCAGAUAGAGCAUCAAUAAGAUGUAAUAUCGUACUUUUUGUAGAACGGGCCAGCGAGUUAUGAUAUGUAGCAAGAUUAAUCGUUUAAGACGAGAAGUCGUAGGGAAACCGAGUCUGAAUAGGGCCAAAGUUGCAUAUUGUAGACCCGAAACCAGGUGAUCUAUCCAUGUGCAGAGUGAAGUUCAAGUAAAAUUGAAUGGAGGCUCGAACCGGGUAUGGUUUAAAACAUAUCGGAUGACGUGUGGAUAGGGGUGAAAAGCCAAUCGAACCUGGAGAUAGCUGGUUCUCCUCGAAAUAGCUUUCGGGCUAGCCUUAACGUAGUAAUUGGAGGGGGUAGAGCACUGAUUAGUCUAGGGGCAUAUAAUGUUACCGAAACUUAUCAAACUCCGAAUACCUCUAAAUUAGCGUUAGGAGUCAGACUAUGUGGGAUAAGCUUCAUAGUCGAAAGGGAAAGAGCCCAGACCACCAGCUAAGGUCCCAAAAUAUAGAUUAAGUGGAAAAGGAUGUAACACUACUUAGACAACCAGGAUGUUGGCUUAGAAGCAGCCACACAUUUAAAGAGUGCGUAAUAGCUCACUGGUCAAGUGGUGAUGCGCCGAAGAUUACCGGGGCUAAAAUCUAAUACCGAAGCUGUGGAACGAGUAAUCGUUGGUAGAGGAGCGUUGUGUAAAGGAAGAAGCAAAACUGUAAGGUUUUGUGGACAUUACACAAGUGAGAAUGCUGGCAUGAGUAGCGAAAAGGUGAGUGAGAAUCUCACCCGUCGAAAGCCUAAGGGUUCCUGGGGAAGGCUCGUCCACCCAGGGUAAGUCGGGGCCUAAGCCCAGGCCGAAAGGCGUAAGCGAUGGAUAACAGGUAGAAAUUCCUGUACUAUCUCAAGCGAUUGAGAGAAGUGUUGACGCAGAAGGAUAUACUUAGCGCACGGAAGGAAGAGUGCGUCCAAGUAAGUAGGUGGUAGGAGUAGGAAAAUCCGCUCUUGCAUAACACUGAGAUACGAUGGGGAGCGAAAAACAAGUAGUGAAGAAGUAGAUUCCACGCUGCCAAGAAAAGGCACUAUCGAGCGAAGAGAUACCCGUACCGCAAACCAACACAGGUAGGCGAGGAGAGAAUCCUAAGACGCGCGGAAGAACCUUUGUUAAGGAACUCGGCAAAAUGACCCCGUAACUUCGGGAGAAGGGGUACCAUGAGACGUAUAUGUUAAACACAAAAAGCGAAGCAUGGUCGCAGAGAAUAGGCCCAAGCGACUGUUUACCAAAAACACAAGUAUCUGCUAAAUCGAAAGAUGAAGUAUAGGUGCUGACACCUGCCCGGUGCUGGAAGGUUAAGGGGAAAUGUUAGGGGUAACCCAAAGCAUAGAACUUAAGCCCCAGUAAACGGCGGCCGUAACUAUAACGGUCCUAAGGUAGCGAAAUUCCUUGUCGGGUAAGUUCCGACCCGCACGAAAGGUGUAACGAUUUGGGCACUGUCUCAACAAAGGAUCCGGUGAAAUUGUAGUACUCGUGAAGAUGCGAGUUACCCACGGCAGGACGGAAAGACCCCGUGGAGCUUUACUGCAGGCUGACAUUGGAUUUUGGUAUUAAAUGUACAGAAUAGGUGGGAGACUAAGAAACUAGGGCGCCAGUCUUAGUGGAGUCUCAAGUGGGAUACCACCCUUUUAAUGCUAAAGUUCUAACCUGGUACCUUGAAACAGGUACAGGGACACUGUCAGUUGGGCAGUUUGACUGGGGCGGUCGCCUCCUAAAGAGUAACGGAGGCGUUCAAAGGUUCCCUCAGAAUGGUUGGAAAUCAUUCACAGAGUGCAAAGGCAAAAGGGAGCUUAACUGUGACACCAACAAGUGGAGCAGAUAGGAAACUAGGACUUAGUGAUCCGGUGGUACCGAGUGGAAGGGCCAUCGCUCAACGGAUAAAAGCUACCCCGGGGAUAACAGGCUUAUCUCCCCCAAGAGUUCACAUCGACGGGGAGGUUUGGCACCUCGAUGUCGGCUCGUCUCAUCCUGGGGCUGGAGAAGGUCCCAAGGGUUGGGCUGUUCGCCCAUUAAAGAGGCACGCGAGCUGGGUUCAGAACGUCGUGAGACAGUUCGGUCCCUAUCCGCCGUGGGCGUAAGAAAUUUGAGAGGAGCUGUCCCUAGUACGAGAGGACCGGGAUGGACAGACCGCUGGUGUAUCAGUUGUUCCGCCAGGAGCACAGCUGAGUAGCUAAGUCUGGUCGGGAUAAGUGCUGAAGGCAUCUAAGCACGAAGCCCCCCUCAAGAUGAGAUUUCUUUUUCAGAGAUGAAGAGAGAUACCAUGAAGAAAAUAUGGUUGAUAGGUCAGAGGUGUAAGAGCAGUAAUGUUUUUAGCUAACUGAUACUAAUAUAUCGAAAGCUUGACCAG